AUUCAUUUCCUGCAAUUUUUAAAUUCCGCAAGUUCACGCUAAUUUUUAUUAUAACGCUAUUCACCCCCCUCUAGCGUUAAGCGUAUUAUCUAACACACUGCCCCAUCAAAGAACAUUUUCCAAGCAUGAGUGUCUUCCAAGAUUGUUUUUAUUGAAUUUACCUCUUUGUCUAGGAAGUAGGUGCUCAAUGGUUGGUAUUCCUCGUCAACCGGGUUUUCAGACAGAUGAUCUGCCAACACCUGAGCUUUCAUCAUCGUGUGAGUGACAUAGACUGUGUCAAAUUCGGUAAGCGAAAUCUUCCAUUUUGCUAACCUCCAUGUGGGCAUCGGCUUCUGGAAUAUGUAUUUCAAAGGAUCCAACCUGGUUAUGAGAUAAGUGGUGUGGGCUUACAGAUAAUGUCUUAGCUUCUGAGCAACCCAAGUCAAAACACAACAAGUUCUCUCCAACAGAUUAUAUUUAGCUUCAUAACUGGUGAACUUCUUGUUCAAGUAAUAGUUCGUCUGUUCUUUCUUCCCAGUUACAUCGUGUUGCCUAAGGAGACAACCAAAAGAGUUUUCUAAGACCGUCAGAUACAAGAAAAAAGGCCUCUCUGGCUCCGGUAGGACCAAGACUGGAGAAUUUGACAAGUAUUCUUUGAUCUUGUUGAAAGCUUACUAACAUUCAUUCGUCCACUUGAUUGCUGCAUCUUUUUUCAGUAACUUGAAUAUGGGCUCACAUGUGGAGGACAAUUGAGCAAUGAACCAGCUGAUAUAGUUAAUCUACCUAACAAGCUCAUCACAUCUUUGUUGGUUCUUGGAGGAGGAAAAUCCCGAAUAGACUUUAUAUUUGUUGAGUCUAACUCGAUACCUCUCCUGGUGACUAUGAAACCCAGAAGUUUGCCCGAUGGGACUUUGAAUGCACAUUUAGCUGGGUUCAGCUUCAGAUCAUACUUACAUAACCACUAGAAGAAUUUUCUGAGAGCUCGGACAUGGUCAUUUUGAGUUUGGGAUUUGAUUAUUACGUCGUUCACAUAUACCUAUAUCUCCUGAUACAUCAUAUCAUGGAAGAUUGCGGUCAUGACCCUCAUAUAGGUUGCUCCAAUAUUUUUCAGACGAAUAGCAUGACUCUAUUAUAGUAUGUACCCCAAGGUGUGGUGAAGGCUAUCUUUUCUGCGUCUUCUUCAUCCAUCAGCAGCUGGUGAUAUCCUGCGUAACAUUCCACAAAGGAUUGUAUCUCAUGUUUGACGCAGUUAUCAACAAUGAGGUGGAUGUUAGGCAAAGGGAAAUUAUCUUUGGGCUCGCCUUAUUCAAAUAUCUAUAAUCCACACACACCUAGGUCUUCCAGUCUUUCUUUGUAACUAGGACUACAUUAGCCAACCAUGUAGUAUACCUGACCACUCGAAUUACCCCUACUUUCAACUAUUUUGCGAUAUCUUUCUUGAUCUUAUCACUGAUGGUAGUUUUGAACUUUCUCUGUUUUUGUUGUACUGGAGGGCAGUCGGGGUAAAUUGGUAAUUCAUGAACAACUAGAUCAACACUCAGCCCUAGCAUAUCGUCAUACGACUAAGCAAACACAUUUUUAAACUCAAAUAGGAUUUGGAUUAUUUUAUCCCGAGUUUUUUUCAUCCGUGUGAAUGCUUAUUUUGGUUUUCCUGAUUUCUUCAGAAGUUCCUAAGUUAACCAGC
rnacentral:lncRNA from 1 species